AACGAACGCUGGCGGCAGGCUUAUCACAUGCAAGUCGAACGCCCCGCAAGGGGAGUGGCAGACGGGUGAGUAACGCGUGGGAACAUACCCUUUUCUACGGAAUAGCUCUGGGAAACUGGAAUUAAUACCGUAUACGCCCUACGGGGGAAAGAUUUAUCGGGGAAGGAUUGGCCCGCGUUGGAUUAGCUAGUUGGUGGGGUAAAGGCCUACCAAGGCGACGAUCCAUAGCUGGUCUGAGAGGAUGAUCAGCCACAUUGGGACUGAGACACGGCCCAAACUCCUACGGGAGGCAGCAGUGGGGAAUAUUGGACAAUGGGCGCAAGCCUGAUCCAGCCAUGCCGCGUGAGUGAUGAAGGCCUUAGGGUUGUAAAGCUCUUUCACCGAUGAAGAUAAUGACGGUAGUCGGAGAAGAAGCCCCGGCUAACUUCGUG
rnacentral:rRNA from 1 species